CCUACGGGAGGCAGCAGUGAGGAAUAUUGGUCAAUGGCCGGAAGGCUGAACCAGCCAAGCCGCGUGAAGGACGACUGUGCCAAGCAUUGUAAACUUCUUUUGUCAAGGGACAAAAUCAGGCUCGAGAGCCUGACCGAGGGUACUUGAUGAAAAAGCAUCGGCUAACUCCGUGCCAGCAGCCGCGGUAAUACGGAGGAUGCGAGCGUUAUCCGGAUUUAUUGGGUUUAAAGGGUGCGUAGGCGGGCUGUUAAGUCAGCGGUAAAAGAUCGGGGCUCAACCCAAGAGAGCCGUUGAAACUGGCUGUCUUGAGAUGUCGAGAGGUAUGCGGAAUGCGCAGUGUAGCGGUGAAAUGCUUAGAUAUUGCGAAGAACUCCGAUUGCGAAGGCAGCAUACCGGCGGCGAUCUGACGCUGAGGCACGAAAGCGUGGGUAUCGAACAGGAUUAGAUACCCCAGUAGUC
rnacentral:rRNA from 1 species